GGCCGGGUAGCUCAAUGGUAGAGCAUUGGCGUCCGCGUUUGGUUGGUAAUGUUCUGGACUUCGUGAGCUUGCGAAUCAACCAUAAACGUGCGAAAAAAACUGUCCACUAAGCCUACGGUUGCAGGUUCGAGUCCUGUCCUGGUUG